AACGAACGCUGGCGGCAGGCCUAACACAUGCAAGUCGAGCGCCCCGCAAGGGGAGCGGCGGACGGGUGAGUAACGCGUGGGAACGUGCCCUUCGCUACGGAAUAGCCUCGGGAAACUGGGAGUAAUACCGUAUAAGCCCUACGGGGGAAAGAUUUAUCGGCAAAGGAUCGGCCCGCGUGGGAUUAGGUAGUUGGUGGGGUAAUGGCCUACCAAGCCGACGAUCCAUAGCUGGUUUGAGAGGAUGAUCAGCCACACUGGGACUGAGACACGGCCCAGACUCCUACGGGAGGCAGCAGUGGGGAAUCUUAGACAAUGGGCGCAAGCCUGAUCUAGCCAUGCCGCGUGAGCGAUGAAGGCCUUAGGGUUGUAAAGCUCUUUCGUGGGGGAAGAUAAUGACUGUACCCCAAGAAGAAGCCCCGGCUAACUCCGUGCCAGCAGCCGCGGUAA
rnacentral:rRNA from 1 species